rnacentral:rRNA from 1 species
UACAGAGGUCUCAAGCGUUGUUCGGAUUCAUUGGGCGUAAAGGGUGCGUAGGCGGCGCGGUAAGUCGGGUGUGAAAUCUCGGAGCUUAACUCCGAAACUGCAUUCGAUACUGCCGUGCUUGAGGACUGGAGAGGAGACUGGAAUUUACGGUGUAGCGGUGAAAUGCGUAGAUAUCGUAAGGAGGACCAGUGGCGAAGGCGGGUCUCUGGACAGUUCCUGACGCUGAGGCACGAAGGCCAGGGGAGCAAACGGG